UGGCUAAAACAGAAACACACACAGAGUAUUGAGAAGGUACGCAGGCAGAUGGGGUGUGGUGAGAAGGUACCCAGGCAGAUGGGGUGUGGUGAGAAGGUACCCAGGCAGAUGGGGUGUGGUGAGAAGGUACCCAGGCAGAUGGGGUGUGGUGAGAAGGUACCCAGAGAGAUGAGGUGUGUCAAAAAAGGUACCCAGAGAGGGGCUGUGGUGAGGCACUACCUGGGACUGUGGGUGUGGUGGUACCCAGGGAGUUGGGGUAUGGUAAGACAGUACCCAGUGAGAUGAGAUGAGGUGACGAGUUAAUGGUCCAUUGUCUAAUCUGUUCAAGAAACAAUUCAGCUCAUCUUCUCUCAGACUUUCCUCUGCAUGUCUGCAGUUAAAAUGCCGCCCAGUAAGACAAGGAGCUUCAAAAGGUCUGCCUACUUAAAAUCACAUCAGCGUCUGUUUACAUCAUUUAUUAUCACAAUGCAUGAAAUAUUUAAGAGGAACCGCGGGUGGCGAGAUCAAC
ensembl:lncRNA